rnacentral:rRNA from 1 species
AAAGCACAGGGACACAUAUGAAGUCUCAGAGCCGGGUGUUGGUUCCGGUAGAGAUCGAGGGAAGUUAGUACCGAAGUCUGAGAUGGAAGAUGGCGAGAAAAGCUGUGUGUAUUUCUGAGGUGCCCGUACCGCAAACCGACACAGGUAGGUAGGAAGAAGAUUCUAAGGCCAACGGGAGAAGGGUUGUUAUGGAACUCGGCAAAUUGACCCCGUAACUUCGGGAGAAGGGGUGCUCCAGAGAUGGAGCCGCAGAGAAUCGGCCCAAGCAACUGUUUACCAAAAACACAGGUUUGUGCUAAAUCGAAAGAUGACGUAUACGAGCUGACGCCUGCCCGGUGCUGGAAGGUUAAGAGGAGAUGUGCAAGCAUUGAAUCGAAGCCCCAGUGAACGGCGGCCGUAACAAUAACGGUCCUAAGGUAGCGAAAUUCCUUGUCAGGUAAGUUCUGACCCGCAUGAAAGGCGUAAUGAUUUGGGCACUGUCUCAACAGCCCGCCCGGCGAAAUUGUAGUACCGGUGAAGAUGCCGGUUACCCGCGACAAGACGGAAAGACCCCAUGGAGCUUUACUGUAGCCUAAUAUUGGGUUUCGAUGUUGCAUGCACAGGAUAGAUGGGACUCUGGGAAACCAAGGCUUUGGCUUUGGCGGAGAGGCCGUUGGGAUACCAUCCUUGCGAUAUUGGAAUUCUAACCUGCGGCUCUGAAUCGAGUCGGGGGACAUUGUUAGGUGGGCAGUUUGACUGGGGCGGUCGCCUCCUAAAGAGUAACGGAGGCGUUCAAAGGUUCGCUCAGCUUGAACGGAAAUCAAGCAAAAGAGUGCAAACGCAGAAGCGAGCCUAACUGCGAGACUGACGGGUCGAGCAGUAACGAAAGUUGGAGUUAGUGAUCCGGUGGUAUGUGAGUGGAAAUGCCAUCGCUCAACGGAUAAAAGUUACCCUGGGGAUAACAGGCUGAUCUCCCCCAAGAGUCCACAUCGACGGGGAGGUUUGGCACCUCGAUGUCGGCUCAUCGCAUCCUGGGGCUGUAUUCGGUCCCAAGGGUUUGGCUGUUCGCCAAUUAAAGCGGUACGCGAGCUGGGUUCAGAACGUCGUGAGACAGUUCGGUCCCUAUCUGUCGUGGGCGCAGGAUAUUUGAUGGGAGCUGUCCCUAGUACGAGAGGACCGGGACGGACGUACCUCUGGCGCACCAGUUGUUCCGCCAGGAGCAUAGCUGGGCAACUACGUACGGAUCGGAUAAACGCUGAAAGCAUCUAAGCGUGAAGCCGACCCAAAGAUAAGAUAUCCCACUGAUUGAAUCAGGUAAGAUCCCUUGUAGACUACGAGGUUGAUAGGCAUGAUGUGUAAGUGGAGCGAUCCAUUCAGCAAGUGUGUACUAAUAGAUCGAGGGCUUGACC